UACGGAGGAUGCAAGCGUUAUCCGGAAUGAUUGGGCGUAAAGCGUCCGCAGGUGGCUGUGUAAGUCUGCUGUUAAAGAGUGAGGCUCAACCUCAUAAAGGCAGUGGAAACUACAUGGCUAGAGUGCGUUCGGGGCAGAGGGAAUUCCUGGUGUAGCGGUGAAAUGCGUGGAGAUCAGGAAGAACACCGGUGGCUAAAGCGCUCUGCUAGGCCGCAACUGACACUGAGGGACGAAAUCUAGGGGAGCGAAUGGG
rnacentral:rRNA from 1 species